GCCUUGUAGUUCCUAGAAAAAGCUGGACUGUGCUAAUCUAUAGGUUUUUGAUUGACUGGCAAAUAUAUACUCUGUGAUUUUAUGCAUGAGAGUUGCCACUCCAAGUACUUCAUAGCCCAGUUGCAGAGACAUUA